UGUAGUUUUGUUGGUGCAGGAAAAAUUGAAACAGUUUAAUCAGCAAUACUCAGUUUCAGUUUAAUCAUCUUCCUGUAAUUUGAAACAGUUUAAUCAGCAGCAGGAAAAUAGUGAUGUUUCAGUUUAAUCAUCAUCAAGAAUUUGAAAUAGUGAUGGAACAUGGAAGCAAUGGAGUACUCAGUUUUGUUGGUGCCAAAACUUCUGUAGUUUUGAUAUGUUGUUAAGAGUAAAAUUAGGAAAACUGACUACUCCUGCAGUUCUAAGCACCGACUCCAGUUUCAGUUUUGUUGACUACAGAAUUUGUGUUGCACAGUUUCUUGGCUGUUAAGAGUAAAAUUUUACUCCUUGUUUUGGUUUGGAGUAUCUCAUACUAUCAAAAGGAGACUCUGAAGUUUUUCUUUUCGUACUCUCAAACCCAAAACACCCUCAAAAUCUUCACAUUUCCAAGGCCUAACUCUCUCCAUCUUCAUCUUUUCGGAGCCUCGGAAAGGUAGGUUGCCCAAUUUAGAGGUUGAGUGCGUCUUCUGCAAGGAAAGGCUUCACUAGAAGAGGAACUACAAAAAGUACAAGGCAGACCUGAAAAAAGAAUUGGAAAAAGUUUCAACACAGCUAAAAAUGGUAUACAUGUUAGGGACAUUUAUAUUUGUGCCCCUAACUCGACCCCACGACUCAGAUUUACCAAUAAUUCUCGAGUCUGCUCAAAUUUGCCCCUCUUCCAUAAUAAGAUGUUAUGGUUCUAUGGGGCCUUAGCACGACGACUUCCCGACUGUCUACUACAACAAGGUUUGCCCGGCUCCGGCGAGGGAGGGGCGAUGACAGCGGCGCGCCUUCAGCUCGCUUCAGUGCUUGUAGUCGUCGUUAGGUGGUCUGCGGAUCUGGAUGUAAUUUUUAUUAUUUCUAGUGUUCGUUGUACUGCCAUGAUUGAAGAUGAAUAAAUUGGAAGUUUUCCCGCAAAAAAAAACACAUUACCGAGUUUAUUUUAAAAAAUAGGUGUUGUAUAUCUAGAUUGUACUCAUCAAACGAAAAUGCCUCAGAUAGUCAGACAUAUAUACAUCUUACUUUUUACAAUUUUUACCAAGCUCAACUAACUUGCGUAGCUUCAACAUGAUUUUCUUAAAUUGCGCACAUAGAUGAUAAUUCAAGAUUCUAUUGCGUAUGACAUCAUAGGGCAUGAAAAACAGGUGCAAAAGAUGUUACCUUCACAGCUUCACUGCUAUUAUGGCAUUGUCAAGAAGAGGUAGCAGAUUGGGAUGAUUGAACAAGGAUGAACCUCCUUCACCAGAUCAGUUGCCCCCUUGCUCUGUAUGACUGUAUCCACCACCUUCAUAGCGUAUGUCCCAUCCUUUGAACCAACAUUAGCAUGGCAGCAUCAGAAGCUUGAGAAUCUCGAAAAUUUCCAAGUUCCACGCACCAAUGAAAACAAAAACUUAAGUUCUAUGCAACAAGUAUUACAGAACUUAACUCUUAAGCCCAGCUGAUGGCAACAUCUAGUAGCAGGGGCAGAGGGGAAGGAGAAAAUUAUACAGACU
rnacentral:lncRNA from 1 species